AGAGUUUGAUCAUGGCUCAGAUUGAACGCUGGCGGCAGGCUUCAACACAUGCAAGUCGAACGGUAACAGGGAGGAAGCUUGCUUUCUUUGCUGACGAGUGGCGGACGGGUGAGUAAUGCUUGGGAAUCUGGCUUAUGGAGGGGGAUAACUACGGGAAACUGUAGCUAAUACCGCGUAAUAUCUUCGGAUUAAAGGGUGGGACUUUCGGGCCACCUGCCAUAAGAUGAGCCCAAGUGGGAUUAGGUAGUUGGUGGGGUAAAGGCCUACCAAGCCGACGAUCUCUAGCUGGUCUGAGAGGAUGACCAGCCACACUGGAACUGAGACACGGUCCAGACUCCUACGGGAGGCAGCAGUGGGGAAUAUUGCACAAUGGGGGGAACCCUGAUGCAGCCAUGCCGCGUGAAUGAAGAAGGCCUUCGGGUUGUAAAGUUCUUUCGGUGAUGAGGAAGGUGUUUGUUUUAAUAGAACAAGCAAUUGACGUUAGUCACAGAAGAAGCACCGGCUAACUCCGUGCCAGCAGCCGCGGUAAUACGGAGGGUGCGAGCGUUAAUCGGAAUGACUGGGCGUAAAGGGCACGCAGGCGGUGACUUAAGUGAGGUGUGAAAGCCCCGGGCUUAACCUGGGAAUUGCAUUUCAUACUGGGUCGCUAGAGUAUUUUAGGGAGGGGUAGAAUUCCACGUGUAGCGGUGAAAUGCGUAGAGAUGUGGAGGAAUACCGAAGGCGAAGGCAGCCCCUUGGGAAUAUACUGACGCUCAUGUGCGAAAGCGUGGGGAGCAAACAGGAUUAGAUACCCUGGUAGUCCACGCUGUAAACGCUGUCGAUUUGGGGAUUGGGCUUAGAGCUUGGUGCCCGUAGCUAACGUGAUAAA
rnacentral:rRNA from 1 species